rnacentral:misc_RNA from 1 species
UCCGGUUUGUCACCGGCGGUCUCCUUAGAGUUCCCACCAUUACGUGCUGGCAACUAAGGACAAGGGUUGCGCUCGUUGCGGGACUUAACCCAACAUCUCACGACACGAGCUGACGACAGCCAUGCAGCACCUGUGUUCGAGUUCCCGAAGGCACCAAUCCAUCUCUGGAAAGUUCUCGACAUGUCAAGGCCAGGUAAGGUUCUUCGCGUUGAACGGUUGGUU